UAAGGACCGGCUAACUNCGUGCCAGCAGCCGCGGUAAUACGGAGGGNCCAAGCGUUAUCCGGAUUUAUUGGGUUUAAAGGGUGCGCAGGCGGACNUAUCAGUCAGUGGUGAAAUCCCGGGGCUCAACUCCGGAACUGCCAUUGAUACUGUAGNUCUUGAGUUUGGUUGAAGUGGGCGGAAUGUAGCAUGUAGCGGUGAAAUGCAUAGAUAUGCUACAGAACACCGAUCGCGAAGGCAGCUCACUAAGCCAAGACUGACGCUCAGGCACGAAAGCGUGGGUAGCGAACAGGAUUAGAUACCCUGGUAGUCCACGCCGUAAACGAUGAUCACUCGUUGUUGGCAACACAUAGUCAGUGACCAAGCGAAAGCGAUAAGUGAUCCACCUGGGGAGUACGUUCGCAAGAAUGAAACUCAAAGGAAUUGACGGGGGCCCGCACAAGCGGUGGAGCAUGUGGUUUAAUUCGAUGAUACGCGAGGAACCUUACCUGGGCUCAAAUGUAAGUUGACAGUUUCUGAAAGGGAAUUUUCUUCGGACAAUUUACAAGGUGCUGCAUGGUUGUCGUCAGCUCGUGCCGUGAGGUGUCGGGUUGAGUCCCAUAACGAGCGCAACCCCUAUUCUUAGUUGCCAUCAGGUCAAGCUGGGGACUCUAGGAAAACUGCCUACGCAAGUAGAGAGGAAGGUGGGGAUGACGUCAAAUCAGCACGGCCCUUACGUCCAGGUCUACACACGUGCUACAAUGGCCGGUACAGAGGGCAGCCACCUGGUGACAGGGAGCGAAUCUCGAAAGCCGGUCUCAGUUCGGAUCGAAGUCUGCAACCCGACUUCGUGAAGCUGGAAUCGCUAGUAAUCGCGCAUCGGCCAUGGCGCGGUGAAUACGUUCCCGGGCCUUGCACACACCGCCCGUCAAGGGCGAAUUCUGCAGAUAUCCAUCACACUGGCGGCCGCUCG
rnacentral:rRNA from 1 species